UGGGGAAUCUUGCGCAAUGGGCGAAAGCCUGACGCAGCAACGCCGCGUGCGGGAUGAAGGCCCUCGGGUCGUAAACCGCUUUCAGCAGGAACGAUGAUGACGGUACCUGCAGAAGAAGGUCCGGCUAACUACGUGCCAGCAGCCGCGGUAACACGUAGGGACCGAGCGUUGUCCGGAUUCAUUGGGCGUAAAGAGCUCGUAGGCGGUCGGGUAAGUCGGGUGUGAAAUCUCCGGGCUCAACUCGGAGGGGCCACCCGAUACUGCACGGCUCGAGUCCGGUAGGGGAGUGGGGAAUUCCUGGUGUGGCGGUGAAAUGCGCAGAUAGCAGGAGGAACACCGGUGGCGAAGGCGCCACUCUGGGCCGGUACUGACGCUGAGGAGCGAAAGCGUGGGUAGCAAACAGG
rnacentral:rRNA from 1 species